rnacentral:snRNA from 1 species
AUCACUUCUUGGCCUCUUGGCUAAGAUCAAGCGUAGUGUCUGUUCUUACCAGUUUAGU